GCAAUCGCACCCCAAUGAACAAAAAACUAAUCUAAACGAUGAAGGAUAAAAAUCUUGCCGCACCCUAGAUUUGGAUCUCAACGCUAUCUCCCUUCUCAGUUGCUCUUCUUGGAUUGAACAUCCUAGCAGCUAUUCUUGUCUAUUCUCCACCAUAUCAGUUGCUCUAUGUUGCUAGUGUAGUUCCUCUAUCGGUUCCUCGUACGAUUCUCUCUCUUAUCAAAAACCCAAAUCCAAAUCCAGCGAUCAACACUCAGAUCGUUAGGAACGCUCUUCCUUUCAUAUCUCUCUGCAAUCUCUAGGUAUCUUCUCAAUUUCUCUUUCAAUUGAUGCUAUAAUAUUUAUUAAAAUUAUUAGAUUUAGGGGUUGGGUAAGUUAAUUUUACGGAUUUUGAUUGUGGUUUGAGUUCUGAUUUUGUUUUAGAUAGAUAGGACUAGAUUGUAGUUUAGGGUUUUUUAUUUUAUUUUAUUUAUAUUUUCUUUUGUAUAUUCACUGCACAUUGCAAAAUUCUGGUACUAUUUGGGGGUUUUGGUGUUGCAAAGACUGAAGCUCGAAGAAACAUGGUAUGUGUACUGACAAAUGGUUGUAUAGAAGUGAGUUUGUAAAACUUCAUAAGAAUCUUUAUAGAAAUUUAAAGGCAUCAAAAGCCAAAACUGAAGCUCAAAGAAAUAGGCUUAAGUAUGUCAAGGCAUUUAAAAGUGGGCAGAAAUUGAUUGAAGAUCCAAGAGAAGUUUGGAAGUGGUCUCUCAUUUUUGUACAGUUACAAUUGAAAAGGUACCUAUGUUCUUUUUCAUGAUAAGAUACAAUCCUUUUUGUUUCUUGGUAGGUACAGCAAUGUGGACUUUGAAAAAUGUUAAUCAUAUUUUCCACUAUUUUGAAACAGAAUUUUAUUUUACAAGUAACUAGGUGACUUGUAUCUUUUUGGUGGAACAUAGGUUUUGAUAGUUUGAUGAGCUAGAAGGCAUCAUGUUUGGAUUGCCAUUUUUCAGUCAUAAGUGGGCAUCGGGCAGUUCUAUCUCUAUUGGUAUGAUGAGCUGAGGUUAUUCUUUCUGUUUUUCACCCUAUGUUCAACAUUUGUUUUGGUUUCCAAUGACUACAUAAUCAGUGUGUAUAUGAUGAAUAUUGUAGACCCCGGAAGCAAAUAAGAGUCCUCCCACAGAGGUAUUCCUUUCUUACUUUCUUUAUCCCUUUAUUUUCUUUCCUCUUGUAAAUUGUGUGGGUUUUCUUUAUCUUUGAAUUUGUUAAUUAUUCAUGACUUGUGUGAGAGGUACAAAUACUGCAUAUAUUGUAUAUUUUGUCCCUCUGUUGUGCAGAACACACUUAGCGAGGAGCUUUCUGCAGGUAAGUUUGACUGUGCUGGGAAUAUAUUGUAUAUUUUGUUUUUCUCUGCCUUGUUUUUAUUCUAAAUACAUGGAUAAGUAGUAUGUCGCAUACUAGACAUGAGCAAUGAGCAUUGUUCAAGUACUUUGAUUCCCCAACAAGUUACAAAUUGUCGUCAUUAACACAAUUUGGUAAAGUUGUGAGCUUUCUGCAGGUAAUGUUGAUUGCAAGGUUUAGAUGAACCGUUGUCUUGGCCUCUAAGAAUAUAUGAAUGGUAUUAAUCAAAACUUACUAUAUGCUUGAUUACAUGAGUCCAUGCUUUAUCAUCCAAGUUACAAGUCAAAUUCAAGUUUGUUUCAAGUCUGAUUGCAUAAUUACAUGAGUACGUGCUUUCUUGUUGACAUAGUGGUUAAGUUUUUUCACUGUUUAUUGUAAUAGUAUGGUUUUACUGUAGCCCUUCCUCAUUUUCUACUCCUAACAGAGUGUUGUGUGAAUCGUAAACAGUAAAAACUACAUAUUAUUACUUGUAAAAUGAUUAAUGGCUACAAUUUGAUUAUUUCGGUAUUAAGGUUGCUUUUUCUUAUGUUGUCAUACAUAAUAAUUACCAUUUAUAUUAUUUUUGCCGGAUAUUAUUAUACAAUGCUAUUGCUAGACUGAUACUGAAGAAUGAGAGUAGAAUAGGAUUAUUGUAUAAUAUAUACUUUUGUAUAACCACUGUACAUGUACAUAUUACUAAUCAAAGAAGCAUUAUUAAAAAAAAAAUGUGUGUUCAAGCUUCUGUUAAUUUUUUUUUAUAUAAAUUAAAAUUCUCUCCCGACAAAGCUAGUUUUGUCGGUAGAGAAAGACUAUGCCGACAAAAUAUCUUUGCUGACAAACACGUCAUGUUGGCUAAAAGGUACAUUUUGUAGGCUUAAAAAUCCUUUUUUGACGGAAUUUUUUCUCAGGGUUUAAGAAUGGCUACAAAAUAUGUUUUGUCAGGAAAGAACCACUUCAUAGGCGACGAAAUGUUAAAAUUUGUCAGCUAGAGUUUUACGCAACAUGCUGCGCGACAAAAUCGCCGACAAAUUUUUUUGUCGGGAAAGAACUUUUGCCGACAAAUUUUGACUUUUGCCGACUAACUAAUUUUGUCGGUAAAGUCGAAAUUUGUAGUAGUAUUUGCUGGGAAAUUCAGUACUGACUAUGUGGUUUGUUGUUGUUGCACCACAAAGAUUGAAGAUCUGCACCUGAAGUCGUCCGAGGCAAGCAUGUCCCCAAUAAUACCAAGCUCCGGGAAUUCACUCCAUUCAUCAAGCCCUGAAGUUUGAGGACUUUCCCAAUGUUUUCUUCUUCCAACAACGAAAAGGUCAUAUUCGUUCAAAAUACUCCGAAGUAUUGCCACUGUUUCGGGUCCAUUUUUUGCAAUCUUCUCUACAUAAAAUGCUGAUCCGCAAGCAUGAACAUAGCCUUCCCUAUACUCUCUUAAGCUCUGCAAAUCAACUAUCCUAUCCCAGUUAGUGGCCUCACAGUCCCUCGAGGUUGUGAAAUAAAAGACGGUCAGGCUGAUGCUUGGAUCCGCUGCCAUCCUUAGUGUUAAGGCUAAUGCCUCCCUAUCGUCUUCGCCUCCCAAGAAGAUCAAGGCGACUUUGUAUUGUACUGCUUCUGAUGAUGAGUUUUUUUCCAGUCCUAAUUGUCUUAGAGGUCCACGGUUGAUAAGAAUCCCAACAGAACAUGGUGCUUUUUCGAGAACACUGAUAUUUAAAGACCUUAUAGCCCUAUCGUCGGACUUGAUAGAGCCAUCAAGAGUCCAAUGUCGAUGGAAGGGGAGUAUUAUGAGAGACGUGGCUCGGUCAAGUGCAAGGGUGCAUGUAUCCUCAUGCAUUGAUUUGGUUGGAGAAAUGGCUGUGAAAGGUUGUACGGUCACUGCUUCACUGAAGUCCCGCUCGAACUGAAGGAAAGAAAGAAGCAUGUCCUCCGAGUACGAGCAAUUGGAGAGUGUCUUGGUUUGCAUUCUGUGGGAAAUGAAGAUAGGGGCAGCUUGGCCAAACAUCUCAAUGAGGUGAAGGACAUAAAGGGAAAUGGGGCUCUCUUUAGUUGGACAGCAGGCAUCCAAAAAAUUGAUGACGGCUGAAAUGUUGUUUUGCUUGUGAAUGCAUGCAAGUAUGCGGAGCUCUGAGUUGGGUUUCAAACACGCUACGUUUCUUUGCUCAUAUCCUCCAUACUUCUUUGAGGAUAUGUUGAAGUGUUUCAAAAGCAAUGACACAACGCAUGCGAUCAUUAGGAUACCAAGUACGUUAAUGGCAUAAAUCUCUUCAUUCAAAGGCUGCAUGCAAGCAAGUAGGCAAUAUAAGAUGAUAUACCAAGUACAUUGCACAUUACAGAAAGCAAGUAGGCAAUACAAGAUGAUAUAUAAAUGAGCGCUGCUAUUUGGACCAUA